GUUAGCUCCCCUUGGGCUGGGCUGGGUCCCCAUGACCCCAGAACUGUACUGGGGUCCAUGGAGAUCUUAGUUUGACACACUGGAAUCUGCCCACCAGGGAUAGAUAGAUAUAAAUAGACAGAUAUACAAAUGGAUAUAAAUAGAUAGAUAGUCAGACAGACAGACAGACAGAUAUAAAUGAAUGUAAGUGUGAUGGAGAUAGUUUGUUGGUUGCAAGGCUUGGGGAGCAGCCACCACCCCCCCAAAGUGUGUGUGCUAACUUAGUGCUGAGUUUGGGUUGGGUUGUGCUUUGGGGGGGACAGAAAGACAGAAAGACAUCAGAAAGACACACACACAUGGGGGAAUAUGGAAUCACGCUACUAAUUCAUUUGCUGGGUUUAGGGGAUAGAUUAGGGUUUAUCACCAGCACAACAGAAUCUGGCUGGCUGCUGCUGCUCCUCUACUACUGCUACCACCUCUUCCUACUACUACGAUUUGGGAUGUCCCUUCCUCUCUCUCUCUCCUUAUCCCUCCCUCACACUCACUCACUCACCCAUUC
rnacentral:lncRNA from 1 species